rnacentral:rRNA from 1 species
UGGGGAAUUUUGGACGAAUUGGGCGAAAGCCGAAUCCAGCAAUGCCGCGUGUGUGAAGAAGGCCUUCGGGUUGUAAAGCACUUUUGUCCGGAAAGAAAUCCUUGGCUCUAAUACAGUCGGGGGAUGACGGUACCGGAAGAAUAAGCACCGGCUAACUACGUGCCAGCAGCCGCGGUAAUACGUAGGGUGCAAGCGUUAAUCGGAAUUACUGGGCGUAAAGCGUGCGCAGGCGGUUUGCUAAGACCGAUGUGAAAUCCCCGGGCUCAACCUGGGAACUGCAUUGGUGACUGGCAGGCUAGAGUAUGGCAGAGGGGGGUGAGAAUUCCACGUGUAGCAGUGAAAUGCGUAGAGAUGUGGAGGAAUACCGAUGGCGAAGGCAGCCCCCUGG